CUACUUACCCGGCAGGGGAGAUACCAUGAUCAUGAAGGUGGUUUUCCCAGGGCGAGGCUUAUCCAUUGCACUCCGGAUGUGCUGACCCCUGAGAUUUCCCCAAAUGUGGGAAACUCGACUGCAUAAUUUGUGGUAGUGGGGGACUGUGUUCGCGCUCUCCCCUG
rnacentral:snRNA from 1 species